GCCGUGUGCUACCAAUUAAAAGCUGGAACGAAGAGAAACAGAAGUGAAUCAGAAUGUUGCUUCGGAAGUCCCACCAGUGACUAGAAACUCCUCAGAUCAAAGCGUUCCGAGAACACGCAGAAAAUUGGCUCUAUAACAACAACGCUCUCACCUGGGUAUUAGGAUGAUACGCAGCUAACGCUUCCCUUAUCUGGUGAACCUCUGAACAUGUGAUUCCCCCAACGAUGAACAGAACCAACAAAGGAUGGUCAUUAGGACGAGGCUUGCUCACAUUCAUGAAUAAACUGAGUCAAACAAUAAAACAAGAAAUGGUGAAUUAACGAAUAUAGCAUGACGUGCAUCUCAGGCAGGAAAUAACUGACAGCAAAAACAAAAUCGCCCCUUUCGUUUUACCUAAAUCCUGUUUUGAUAAGAUCCUUAAAUCCGUGUGACUUGAACUCGAUGUCGGGUAGUUCAGGUGAUUCAGGACUAUAAAUGCCUUCUGUUAUCUGAAAAAGAUGAAGCAUUUUAGACAUUCAAAUAAAUCAGAACAAUUUCCUUUGGUUGAAUCACACAAAACGCUUUAAACUCAAACUUCACAGGAAAAGCUUUGUUACUAAAACAGUGCUCUGAAAAGUGUUUCUAAAGUAUAGUCUACUGAAGUGCAAAUUAUAAUAAAGUGACUCACAUGG